rnacentral:rRNA from 1 species
GACGAACGCUGGCGGCGUGCCUAACACAUGCAAGUCGAGCGAGAAAUCUAAAGCGUAGCCUUCGGGCGAAACUUUAGGUGGAAAGCGGCGGACGGGUGAGUAACGCGUGAGUAACCUGCCCUAUGGAGAGGAACAACACAUUGAAAAGUGUGCUAAUGCCUCAUAAAAUGUAAUUACCGCAUGGUAGAAACAUCAAAGAUUUAGCGCCAUAGGAUGGACUCGCGUCUGAUUAGAUAGUUGGUAGGGUAACGGCCUACCAAGUCGACGAUCAGUAGCCGAACUGAGAGGUUGAUCGGCCACAUUGGGACUGAGACACGGCCCAGACUCCUACGGGAGGCAGCAGUGGGGGAUAUUGCACAAUGGGGGAAACCCUGAUGCAGCAACGCCGCGUGAAGGAUGAAGGUCUUCGGAUUGUAAACUUCUGUCUUUGGGGAAGAAUAAAAUGACGGUACCCAAGGAGGAAGCCACGGCUAACUACGUGCCAGCAGCCGCGGUAAAAC